rnacentral:rRNA from 1 species
UACGUAGGGCGCAAGCGUUGUCCGGAAUUACUGGGCGUAAAGCGAGUGUAGGCGGUUUGGUAAGUCGGAUGUGAAAGCCCCGGGCUCAACCCGGGAAGUGCACUCGAUACUGCCAAGCUAGAGUAUCGGAGAGGUUGGUGGAAUUCUCGGUGUAGAGGUGAAAUUCGUAGAUAUCGAGAGGAACACCGGUGGCGAAGGCGGCCAACUGGACGAAUACUGACGCUGAGACUCGAAAGCGUGGGGAGCAAACAGG